UUAGGAAUUUUCUACGUACGAUAAGCUACAAUAAUAUUGUGAGUCUUAUGCAGAUUUGUAUCUUAAAUUUGUAUGCAAACAUAUUAUGUACGGACUUACGUAAAUCGAACAGAAGGAAAAAAAAAGAAGGAGAUUUUCGCUUCCUUUCAUAAACGGGAACUCUUUCCCGUCCCUCAUUCUUUUGGUUCAAAAAUACCUCGUUCCAGUUUUCGUUCUUAACACUGGAUAUAAUCCGCAUUAACCUUCGUGCCUGCGCACGCCACUAUAAUAACAUUAUAUAGACACGCGUCUCGUUCCGAAAUCAAAGAAAUUAUUUGAAAGGCCAUACAUAUCUUAUAAAUGCAAAUCCGAAUGCUACUGAAAUCAAGAGUGUCGGUAUCAAAAUCAACGAGACAAUAAUUAUGUGUGUAUAAAUGUUAUUUUAAUAUACCGUUCGCGUAUAUAUAAAUGUAUAAUAUUACAUUACAUAAAACUUAUCCGUGUCGCGUGAAGGAGCUUUCAUAAAUUUACACGGUCGCUCGGAGGCGCCGCCGUCAUCGUUGGAAAUUACAGCAGCUUUUGAAAUCAAAAAUUACCCCCCCCCCUACCUCUCCUGCCUUGUAUAUUACGAUAGGUACGUACACUCUUCAGCCGACUCGAAAAUCCAAUCAGUGCGAGAUUCGGUGUAUAGUGGCAGGUGCGUCCCGAAAGUUUCAUCGCGUACGUACAUACAUGUAUAUGUAUAAUAUAGAAAACGACUUUCGACAAGCACGCACACGCUGUAUAGUUGUUGUAUAAUAGGUACGUAAUAUCAUAUAAAAUACAACGUCGUUUCAAUUAAUACGAUGUCUCGUGUGUCUCAUUAAAUAUCGUGUAUAGUAUAAAAUAAUAUAAUAUAUAUAGGUGUAGCGCACGUAUAAUAAUACCUACUCGUAUUAUGACGCCGCGCGCCGCCGCCUUCUACUGAUUGAAUUGAAAACGACAAGGGUCGGGGGAUGAAAUUAAAAAAAAAAAAAAAAAAAAAAAACCAAACGAACGCCGUUGUUUGAGCCAACCGACCGUGAACCGAUUAAGAAUAACGCAGGUACCCCUGUAUAUAUAAUAAUAUUAUAAUCUAGAUCAUUAUGAGGAAUCGGUAGAGUAAAACCGGGUCGUGAACUCGACUUGUGUGCUCGAGUAGAAAAAAAAUAAAUAAGAAUCAUAAUGAUAUUUUAUAAAAUAGAUUAAUUUUGUUCGUCAUUUCGACAGAACCUAUGUAAAUAUUAUAAAUUACAUAUAGUUACAAAGUUAGAAAAACGAGCGUAACUUUCGAGUUAAUUAUACUUGUUUACCGUUGGUUAAUAUUGCAAGCCUGGGAAAUUUAAUGAAUGAGUCAAAAGUUAAUAGCUUUAUCAGUUCACUAAGUUAACUCGCACUAGUUUGAAAAUCUAAUCGACUUUGUAACUUUGGUAAGUUUAUUAUUAUUGUUUCUUUUUUACUUUUAAUUUUAUUUUUAUUUUCGAAAUAAGGAGAACAAUUAAACAUGGAGUUUGUCAUUUUUAUUUUUAAAAAAAGGAUGAUCAAUGUUAAACACUAGGGGAUUAUUCCAAUAAUAUCAAAUUAUUCCUACUCAUUUUACUAACCAUUAAAUAUCUUAGAAAAUCAGUUAUCUGCUUGUUUAGAAAAUAGGAGUUAUGAUUUUAAUUGUUUUAAAUUAACUCGUGAAAAUAAUAUUAAGUAUCAAAGCAUUCACUUUGAUGAGGAUAGGAAAUGGAAAUCACAAAUCAAUCUAAAUAUAAAAAUAAAAAAUAUUGAGAAAGCAAUUCUAUACAUUUAAAGAAUUAAAUAUCAUUUUAGAUCUUUUUAGUUUGCGUAGAGUUUAUUUUUCUCUGGUACAGUCUGUCUUAUCCUACGGUAUAUCCGUAGGAUAAGACGGUAUAUUUUUUGGGGAUCAGCAUACCUAGCCACUGUGGAGCAACUAAACAUUACGCAUAGAGUGUUAAUAAGAAUUACAUUAAAAAGUUAUGACAGAAUGAAUAUUUCACAAAUGUCUGAUAUUCUAUGAACAUUUAUUAUAAACAACUUUUUGAAUACACUUUAUUAAUCUAAUUACAUUCUAAUUUGGGUCCCAGGUAAAUGAGUGCUUAUGAAUUAUUCCUAAUGGAAGAAGGGAGAAGUGUUUUAGGCUUCCCAAACGUAAUUCUUUGGUUUAUCAAAAAUAUUAUCAAUACAAAGCUAUAGCAAUGU
rnacentral:lncRNA from 1 species